UUUGCGCUAGCGAUAAAAACGGCAUCCAUUUCUUUUUUUGGAAAAAAGAAAUGAUACAGUGGAUAGCGCGACCUUUA
rnacentral:sRNA from 1 species